GACGGACGCUGGCGGCGUGCUUAACACAUGCAAGUCGAACGAUGACGACCGAGCUUGCUCGGUCUGAUUAGUGGCGAACGGGUGAGUAACCCGUGAGCAACCUGCCCUUCACUCUGGGAUAACCUCGGGAAAUCGGGGCUAAUACCGGAUAUGAGCUCCUGUCGCAUGGCGGGUGUUGGAAAGUUUUUCGGUGAAGGAUGGGCUCGCGGCCUAUCAGUUUGUUUGUGAGGUAGUGGCUCACCAAGGCGAUGACGGGUAGCCGGCCUGAGAGGGCGACCGGCAACACUGGGACUGAGACACGGCCCAGACUCCUACGGGAGGCAGCAGUGGGGAAUAUUGCACAAUGGGCGAAAGCCUGAUGCAGCGAAGCCGCGUGAGGGAUGACGGCCUUCGGGUUGUAAACCUCUUUCAGCAGGGAAGAAGCGAAAGUGACGGUACCUGCAGAAGAAGCGCCGGCUAACUACGUG
rnacentral:rRNA from 1 species